UCUGAGAGUCACGCAGACUGUUGACCACUGGUAUGGUCACCUGAUCAUGAGAAGGGCUCAAGGCAAAAGAUCCAACCCUGAAUCAACCAUGAGGGCCUCGCAGCCACCUGGGGCCUGUGGCAGACCAUGUGGGCUUGGGCAUCGCACCAGCCAGAGUGCAGCUGGGAACACAGACUAAGCUAGCCAGAUGGGGACAGGCGUGGACUAAGGUUUGGCAUGGCACAGAACUUUUGGACACUGGUCUUUGUACUGGGCCUGAUGAAGACAAAGCUGGACUUUUUUUCAUGGCGGGACAGACAGAGAUGAGACUUUGGGAACCUGGGGGCAGCCUGCUAUUUCCACCCAAAUAAACCUUACCAUCAGACCUCAUCCCCCCAUGUGUGUCCCAAAAAAUGCUUUUCUCAUGACACCACAAGGACCCCACUUCCACUGGCAACAAAUAUAUGCGAGCAGGGUUUUAUAUCAAUGAACCAAAGAUGCCCCAUAUUAUUGGCCCUGUGUUUUUUACAGCACAGCAGGCUGGACCGUUUGUUCAAAAACUACUUGACCCAAUUCCAGUUCUUACCCAUGCUAUUGAUUAAAUUAUAGUUGAAGUGAACUCAUUUUAGCCAUUUCAAGUGUUUGGGUAGUGUGGGACCUGUAGUGCCGUCUUCUGGCCACAGAUCACAUGGACCCGGGGUAUGAACCAACAACUCACUGCAGCCCUCCGGGUUCUCUGACCCAGAGCCCCUCACCGUGGUGCUCAGCAAAAUCACUACACACCACAGGUCCCUGGCUGAGUCUCUCCUCCCCCUGGAGCCACCUGCCCUUUUCACUUUCUAGAUGGGGCGCCAUCCUGUUGUCUCUGGAAGGCCGCAUGCUGGGGUGAGCUCCCCUGCAUGCUAAUCUGUCAAAGUGCUCCCCAAAUAAAGCCUGUUGUGUGUUGCUGCCA